GCGUCCGGAGCCUGUGCUCCACAACGGGAGAGGCCACAACAGUGAGAGGCCUGCGUACCGCAAAAAAAAAAAAAAAAAAUUAGUGUUUUCAAUAGGAAAAAGUUAUUUGUGGGUAAUUAUAUGCUUAAGUAGUAUAUUGUAUAGAAACUAUGUGCCCUUGCGUAAACAGUAUAGCAAAAACUAUUGUGCUAUACUCUUUAAAUUAGUAAAAUUACAUAGUCUUGUCUAAUCUGUGCACUCAGAAUUUACAAUUAUGUCUGUAAAAUUCUAGCUCAAUAGUUCUCAACUGGGGGUAACUUUGGCUCCCAAAAGAUAUUUGGCAGUGUCUGGAGACAUUUUUGGUUGUCAAAACUGGGCAGUGGGGCACGUUGCUACUGGCAUGUAGUAAGGAGAGACCAGGGAUGCCUAUAUCCUGCAAUGCACAGGACAGUCCCCCACAAAAAAGAAUGAUCCAACCCAAAAUGUCAACAUUGCUGAGGUUGAGAAACCCUGUCCUAGCCUGACUGAGCACCUCUUCAGCUUUGUUUCAGUUUCAGAAUAUUAAAACCUCAGAUAUUUAUGUGGGAGUUACUUAAAUGGCCCAGAACUUUAACUAUGAAACAUUACUGUGUAGUAUAUUGAAUAUAGAAAGUAAUGAAGAUUAUAGGUAUUUUAUUCAUAUGUUUCCAUCUGUAAAUAACGUGAGUCAGAAAACUGUAGGGAACAUCAGAGAUUGUCUAAAGUGAGUCACUUUGAAAAGCAGUUCAUUCGUCUAGCUAUUGAUGCUUUAGAUACCACGCACACUUUUUAAGCUUUAGUUAGUUACCCUUCUUUGACUCCAUUGUCUUAGUUUAGACAAAAAUUUUCAUUUCAGCCAUGUACUGAAAUCUUAAUGUAAGUGGUUGAAGCUAGUAAAAAUGUUACCAAUUUAAAAAUGGUACCCGUAGUCAAUGAGCUUGAACUCGGUAAGUGGUAAUUUGAUUUUUAAAAUAGAUAAUAGCUGUUUGGAACUGGGAGUGGGGGUGGGGGGAGAAUGUCCUUGUAUCCAAUAGUAAUGAUGAUGGUGAUGAAAUAAUGAUAGUAGCUGUGUGUUUUGAAUUAGGGAAUCACUGCACACUACCUGACCUAAUCUGUAGAAAACUGAGAGUAGUAUCUAUUAUUAUUCCUGAAUCUGAGGCUUAGAAGUCAUACAGUGUGUAAAUGGCUAAUUUCAUAUAUCAUGAUGUAUUUCGUCUUUGCCCCUCCCUGUGCAACAAAGUAUGUAUCUUUAGUCCCUUUGGUAUUUAUUCUGAGACCAAGGGCUUGCUUAAUUUGGUGAUUUGCCUUCAGUCCCCUGAAGGUAUUUAUUCCACAAUCCAGGUGAUUCUAAUGCACACUAAAGUUGAGAAUCACUGCACGAGAUCACUUUGUAUUUUCCCAUUUCCAGAGCUGAUAUGUAGCCUUAGUAUAUCUCUUCUAUUGACAGGUACUACCUUGAUUCUGCAUUUGGUCCUUGUUAAUUUAAGAAUGUCUUGAAACCAUAUGUGACAUUUGAGUAUGGGUAUAUAAGGAAAAAAUAUACUUCUUCUUAGUUACCUUGACUUUGAAAUAGUGUUAUUUUUCUAUAACUGAAAUAAAUGCUUCUGCCAUAAAAAUAAAAUUUGCCUAUACUAACUAUGUGAACGUUUAUCAUUUCAAGUGAUGCUCAGUGAUGAGGGUUGAGGUUGUGAAGCCUGGAAAAGAGCUUUAUCAUGGAUUUGUUUUAAUGGCGAUGGCAGGAGUUCAAGAGCGAAAGAAGUGAUUCUCAAAGUGUCUUGAGGUCAAGGCUCAGGACUGGCACUUCACUUCUGCUGCACGAUACUGGCCAAAAACAAAUCAUCGGGUCAGACCAGAGUUGACAGGCUAUGCAGUUCAUCUGUGAGUUUUUUCAAAUUGUCACAAAUCUCCAAAAAGUUUUCCAGUAUAUUUAUUGAAAAAAUUUGCACAUAAGUGGACAGCUCAAACCUAUGCAGUUCGAAGGUUCAACUGUAUAUAACUUUUGUCAAGGCUUUCUAGUUGCUAUCCUUAGACCUGAAGUUGUAACUUCUAAAGCUCCCAGAAUAUUAAAUACCUGUUUCAUUUUUUGACCUCUAACUUCUUUUUGACACAUGCUGAGCCUUUAGAACAUACAUAUCAGGUGGCAUUUUGUGCAGUGCCUUAAUUAAAACCCAGAUGAGAAUUGUCAAAGGUAUCACUUUGAAAUUUCUCCCCAAUGCAUAUCAAAAAGGAUUUAGCUUAAACAUAGUGGGAAGAAAACCAAAGAACAUAUCUUCUUGGGGGAAAAAAAAGAGUUGUUGAUUAAAUCUCAGGAGAUUAAUUUACCACUGUAGAUAGAAGCAUUGAGACCAUGCUGAAUUGAACUGAGACCAGAAGAAAUGAGAAAUUGACAAUGAUUAUAAAAUUUGAAUUUUGAUAAAUAUAUUCUGAGAAGAACUUUCUUGAUAUGAAUUUUAUCAGGGAAAACCCUUUAUUAUUUACCAUUUAUUUUCUGAUGUGACCCAUUCAUCUUUAAAAAAUUUUAAUAAGUUGAAAUAUAAAAUCCAUCUACUCUGGUGUCAAUUCCUUUCAAAUCUAAAUUUCCAGUUCCAACAUUUGAAUUGAACUAUAAACCUGUAUUUUCAAUUGUUAUAUGGCAUUUCACCAUGUAUAGUUUGCUGUUUUCUGAAAUACAUGGUAUAUGCCAGAAUCAAAUUCAUUAACUCCCUUCUCUCAUAUCUGUAAAUUAUCUUCCCUAUGCAGUUGGUAUUAUUUGUACCAGAUUGUUUGGUUGGAAAUUUUAGUGGUGUCUUCUAAUCCUUUGACUUCUUCAAUCUACUCAUGUUGUUAAGUCCUGUAUUUUCUUCUUUUAAUGGCUCAUUCCAACCUCCUUCAAUCUCACAUGUAGUCUUUGGCAUCGUGGCAUUUGCAGUCUGUAUCUCAGGAGUCUCCUGAUUCUCAGUUUGCUUCUAUUUAAUCCUCCCUGUAUGAUACUUCCAGAAUAGAUUUCAUAAAGUACUGUGUCCAUUAUGCCCUGAGAAUUAACAGGACGUGAACUAGUGGAAGAAGAGCAGAGCUCUGGAAAGACCAUAGGUCAGCUGAGUGAUGUGGGGCAGUUGGUGUUUCUUAGUCAUGGUUCUUCAUCUCUAUUACAUUGAAUAUCAUGCCCUAACUCUCACUGUGUUUAUAUUAAUAAAAUUAAUAUAUGAGAAUGCAUUUAGAAUUUAGAAAUCAGCUUGAAGACAUUACACAUUUUUCUUCCCUGUAACAAGGAUUCCUUCUGAAUCAAGUGUAAUAUCCUCAGAUGUUCUUUGCCUACCCUAAGAUUGUCUCAUACCAACAUAAAUAGGUUUGUCACUGUUCUUUCCAAAUACUCCAUGAAGUUUUCUUCCCUUUUCCUUUGAUCAUGUUGCUUUUACACUUGAACUUUUCAGUUUUUAUCCUAGAGUGACAAUCAGCAGAGAAAAGCUUUUUCCGAUAUGGGGACUUAGUCAUUUCUACCAUUCUCUACCAUAAUUAAAAAUAUAAAAAUGAAUUUCCCUGAAUAAAAUUGAAAUAUUUUAUCAUAUAAAUUUGGUAUCAUUUUAACAAGUUGAUGUAUAGUUGACUUACAGUAUUAUCUUAGUUUUGGGUAUACAACAUAGUAAUUUGAUGGCUUUAUAGGCUAUACUCCAUACAGAGUUAUUAUAACAUAUUGACUAUAUUCCUUGCUCUGUAUAUUACAUCCUUGUAACUUAUUUAUUUUAUACCUAGUAGUUUGCACCUCUUAAAGCCCCUCACCUGUUUUGCCCCUCCACCCAUCCCUCUCCCCUCUGGUAACCACUAGUUCGUUUUCUAUAUCUGUGAGUCUGUUUAUUUGUUUUAUUUUUUUCU